rnacentral:rRNA from 1 species
GAUGAACGCUGGCGGCGUGCUUAACACAUGCAAGUCGAACGGAAAGGCACUGCUUUUGUGGGGUGCUCGAGUGGCGAACGGGUGAGUAACACGUGAGUAACCUGCCCUUCACUUUGGGAUAACUUCAGGAAACUGGGGCUAAUACCGGAUAGGAGCUCCUGCUGCAUGGUGGGGGUUGGAAAGUUUCGGCGGUCGGGGAUGGACUCGCGGCUUAUCGGCUUGUUGGUGGGGUAGUGGCAUACCCAGGCUUAGAAGGGUAGCCGGCUUGGGAGGGUGACCGGCCACAUUACGACUGAGGUACGGCCCAGACUCCUACGGGAGGCAGCGGUGGGGAAUAUUGCACAGUGGGCGGAAGCCUGAUGCGGCAGCGCCGGGUGCGGGAUGACGGCCUUCGGGUUGUAAACCGCUUUCGCCUGUGACGACGCGUGAGUGACGGUAAUGAGUAAAGAAGCACCGGCUAACUACGUG